rfam:Psychrobacter arcticus 273-4, complete genome.
UUGGUAGACUAGGCAAUCGCCGCUGCACACUGGCAACAGAUUGAGCAGGGGAGGAAAGUCCGGGCUACAUAGGGCAGCGUGCCAGCUAACGGCUGGGCAGGGUAACUUGACGACCAGUGCAGCAGAGAGUAGACCGCCUUUGUUAUCGCAAGAUAUCAUCGGUAAGGGUGAAAGGGUGCGGUAAGAGCGCACCGCGUGGCUGGCAACAGUUCACGGCAUGGUAAACUCCACGCGUAGCAAGACCAAAUAGGCAUCGGCAUGGCGCGGCCCGCGUUCGAUGCGGGUAGGUUGCUUGAGCGUACGAGCGAUUGUGCGCCUAGAGGAAUGAUUGUCCACGACAGAACCCGGCUUAUCGGUUUACCAACCUU